rnacentral:rRNA from 1 species
AGCAGUAGCCGCGGGAAUACGUAGGUCCCGAGCGUUGUCCGGAUUUAUUGGGCGUAAAGGGAGCGCAGGCGGUUUAGUAAGUCUGAAGUUAAAGGCAUUGGCUCAACCAAUGUAUGCUUUGGAAACUGUUAGACUUGAGUGCAGAAGGGGAGAGUGGAAUUCCAUGUGUAGCGGUGAAAUGCGUAGAUAUAUGGAGGAACACCGGUGGCGAAAGCGGCUCUCUGGUCUGUCACUGACGCUGAGGCUCGAAAGCGUGGGGCGCAAACAGGAUUAGAUACCCCGGUAGUCCCUGUCUCUUAUACA